rnacentral:lncRNA from 10 species
UUGGGUGGGGCCAUGUGACCAGUUCUAACCCAUGAGCUGUCAGCAGAAGUAAUCUGUGUCAUUUCUAGGUUGAGCUUUCAGUGGCCAAUGAGAGACCUUCCAGAAGUCUCUUCCCUCCAGAAAGGUAACCAGAAAUUAUCAAAAUAGCAGUUGCUCCAUCAGCCUGAGAACUUGAGUGAUUAUGAGGACAAAGUUCAUGGCUCACUGUGAUGAACUCUUUCUGAGGGAAAAAGUUAAAAGGACUAAUGUGAAUCCAAAAGUCUAGGAGCAGAGAACUGAAGAUUUGAAGAAGCUUAACUGUGAAAUGAACAGCUAUAGCACCUGCACGAAUGAGUCCAUGAGCUCCAUUCCUGAGGGCGGAUUUUGAGAGUGGCCUAUAGAGAUAGCAGAGUCCCCUGGCUGCCCUGAGAGAUGAAGAGAGACACAGCCACAGAAGAGGUGACGGACGGAAACUCCUGCCAUCUUCCUAUGCAGUUUUGGCCUGGCUGUCCUUGCCAGGCACCCUCAAGAAGCUCCAGCCUCAGAUUUUAAAAGCUGUGUAACUUUUUGAACUCAAAGAAAGAUCUUUGGCUAAAAUGGCCCCCCAAAACCUUUGUUAAACAAGCACAGUAUGUAACCCAGUCCUCUUCUUCUGCCCGGGCAUCCCCCAGAUACUGCCCUUUGCAGUAGAAGCAGCCCAAGGUGUCGGGGCCCAUGACAAGGGAAUCAAAACUUUUCUCUUGUCAGGUGUGUGUGAGGAGGUACCUUGGUCAUCUGUGAUUCUUG